rnacentral:rRNA from 1 species
CAGUCGCCGCGGUAACACGGAGGGGGCUAGCGUUGUUCGGAAUUACUGGGCGUAAAGCGCACGUAGGCGGCUUUGUAAGUCAGAGGUGAAAGCCUGGAGCUCAACUCCAGAACUGCCUUUGAGACUGCAUCGCUUGAAUCCAGGAGAGGUCAGUGGAAUUCCGAGUGUAGAGGUGAAAUUCGUAGAUAUUCGGAAGAACACCAGUGGCGAAGGCGGCUGACUGGACUGGUAUUGACGCUGAGGUGCGAAAGCGUGGGGAGCAAACAGGAUUAGAUACCCCUGUAGUCCCUGUCUCUUAUAC